rnacentral:rRNA from 1 species
UACGUAGGGACCGAGCGUUGUCCGGAAUCAUUGGGCGUAAAGAGCGUGUAGGCGGCUUGCUAAGUCUUGCGUGAAAUCUCGGGGCUCAACCCCGAGCGGUCGUGGGAAACUGGCAGGCUAGAGUGCGGGAGAGGAGAAUGGAAUUCCUGGUGUAGCGGUGAAAUGCGCAGAUAUCAGGAAGAACACCCGUGGCGAAGGCGGUUCUCUGGAACGCAACUGACGCUGAGACGCGAAAGCGUGGGGAGCAAAUAGG